rnacentral:rRNA from 1 species
UACGUAGGGUGCGAGCGUUAAUCGGAAUUACUGGGCGUAAAGCGUGCGCAGGCGGCGCGUUAAGACAGGUGUGAAAGCCCCGAGCUUAACUUGGGAAUUGCGCUUGUGACUGGCGUGCUGGAGUGUGGCAGAGGGAGGUGGAAUUCCACGUGUAGCGGUGAAAUGCGUAGAGAUGUGGAGGAACACCGAUGGCGAAGGCAAUCCCCUGGACCUGUACUGACGCUCAUGCACGAAAGGCGUGGGGAGCAAACAGGAU